UAUUGGGCUGUCAUUGACUGACUGGCAUUCAGAAGCAUGCUUAAUGAUGCAAAGCUGUCAUUGAUCAACUAGGAUGGAUUUAGAAUUGGUUCUAGAGAUUAUUUGCUGGCAAUGGCUGAAAAGAACCAAUCCCUUCUAUGAAGGACUUAGUCUGAAAAUCUGAAAAGCAUGGUAAACAAACAAUGGUGGGAAGCUUGGGAACCUGUCCACUGCCCCAGAAAGCCCAGGGGCUUCAUGAACUGGAAUUGGAAACGUGUUCCAGCACAGUGUGGGGGAAGUGAUGCACAGAAUUCUGAGUGUGGAAUUUUAAUGCCUGGAACGAGAAAAUAGGAGUUUGGGCAUGUUCUACUUUAUGCACACAGCUAUCAACAUCCACUACUGACAAACUGUUGACAACACUGUGGAAUUAUCUGCCAGUUGUUAGUACUUUUUGAAGACAGCAUUUCAAGUAACCAGGAACAAAGCAUGUGUGUUGAAACUAUGCAGACAGGAGAGAUUUUUGUACAACUUCCUUUAGAAAAUCCUCAACCCAAAUGUGGAUUCAGAACCAAUGUAUGCACAUGAUCAGUAUCUUCCACUGAAGACAUGAGAGGACAUGAGCAAUAUGGUGACAGUCUCAAGUCUCUGCCUCAGCAAAUAAUGUGGCAUAGAAAAGGCCUUCCACUGGGAACCAGGAAAGAUCUAUAAGGAAGAGCUCUUAUCUUUCAUAGUACGAGUUGUGCUUGGACUCAGCUCUGCAAUCAAGAAAACAUGAUGUUGCGUUCCCCGUGCAUCGACAAGGAACAAGUCAUCAUGAGCUUUCCUGUUGUAUAACAACUUUAGGUGCUAUGAAAGAUAGUCAUCAGGGAGAAGGCUUCCAGAUCAGUACAAAAUUUGAUUCCUCCAAAUCCUGUGUCAGAAGUGUGUGGUAUUUCCAGUAAAAGGAUUUUUACCUUCAGGUUCUGGGAGGUAAGCAAGGUCUUAUAUUAUUUUGGGGUUACUUGGAAUCCUCUCACCAACAAUUUGAAGUGUAAUUAUUACUGAUACCUGGAACUGGGAUUUUGAUAAAUAAGUGUAUGGCUCUUGGAGCAAGCAUUAUUAUCCCAAGUGGCCAGAAUCCAUUUAAAUUAUUUAUACAUAUAUGCACAUACUCAUAUAUAUUCUAUAUGCAUUUUAAGUAAACAUAAAAUAAUGGUCCCCUAUGGCAACACAAAUUUAAAAUAACAAUAAUUUGGUUGGUGAUAAAAGAAACUGGUAAUUAUAUUCAAACCUGCUAUGGGUUGUUUUCUGUGAGUGUGCAUUUUAGUUUCUGUCAUUCUCCUUGGCUUCCGUGGGUGACUUGAAAUGAACACCAGAGAUACCCAGUGUCCUGGGACUUAAACAGAACACUAGCCCUAUGCUUAUGGGUGGAUAGGGUGGAGGGGCACUGAAUAUUAUUAUGGAGGAGAGGGUGCUGCAUAUUAAAUGAAGGGAGUUAGUGAAACCCAAGGGCUGUCCUUUAUGAUUUAUAGUUAUAUUCCAAAAGGCCAUUGUUGAUUGUGGGAAACAUCUUUUGAGACCAGGGUGUGCUGCAACUACUGAAAGAAGGUGAAUAUACUAGUCAAAAUGGUAGGUACUAACAACAAAGAACUGAAGAAAAAAGCUGGUGGAAAAAGAAUAUAGCUCUGAGAUAUGCAAAGUGAAGAAAGAGGAGGUGUGUGUGUGUGUGUGUGUGUGUGUGUGUGUGUGUAUGUGUGUGUAUGUGUGUCUGCCAGAACAAUUCAAUAAUGUCUGAGAAAGGCUUGGAUUUAUUGAGAAUGAAGCAGGCAAGCUUGGGGCCAUUCAUUUGGGCUCAGCCCUUAUAAAUGAUUUGGAGGACUUUGUAGCAUGGUAAGUAAGCAUAAUGGUUUUUGUAUUGAACUGUAGCACCCUUGGACAACUUAAAAGAACCAAGAUUCUCUAGAAUUCAAUUUACUUUGCAUUAACGGGAGAUCUGACGCUCGCCUGCACUAACUGCUUCUUUUAUCUGAGCUGCUAAGGAGUCACGUGGCUUAGGAAGAAAAUUAAGAGAUUUUACAUUUGUUGCUCUAAGCAAAAUCAUUUUGUUAUCUACUUUAAUGAGAGCGUGGAUGAGUUUUCCUGUUUUAAUAAUCACUGUCUUAAACUUCUCUUCUAUGAAGGCAAUAUCAACAAAAACUCUCCUGAGGUUUUAUCGUUAUACAAUUAGUUUUUCUCUCUCUACCAUUUGAAAUCCCUGAAAUUAUUUUUAAAAUUGAAAGAGGCAUUUUCUUUUACCGAUCUCUCUGGGCACAUAUAAGGAAAAUGGACAUUACAACUUUGCUUUCAAGAGCUGAUUGGCAUAAUCUAAGGUCUUUGUAGUCUGAAUUCACAUUUGAGUCUAGUAGUUCUUUAUCUUACUUGAUUGUUCUAUCUGUACAUACUGGAUCUCUGGGGGCGGGGUUGGGUAAGUCCUGCAUUCACUGUAGAGAGAAUGUGUAUGUUCAUUCUGCUGGGAAAUCCUAAGAACCAGGAAAAUUCAUUCUAAAAUAUCAUGCAUCUAGUCCUCUGUGUGAGUCUAUCUUGCCUGGUUGAAGACAGACAGGUCAUAAUCUCUGUGGUUCCACAUUUUGCAUCCAAAUCAUCUAUUAUGCCCCACUAAAUGAUGCCUUAUCAACUCCUCCAGGCUGGAGGGAGGCAGCCCUAUUUCAGACUGAGGUUUAACACUGCAUCUAUUCUUAAUGCAUUUAUGCAUGUAUUAUUUCUAUUCUCUUGGCUUCUAGCGUACUUGAAGAAUGCAUAAUGAAAAAAAAUUAAAGUCAGACAGUUUAAGUAGGCACAAAGUAUAAGAAGUGCUGUCAUGUCAAGCACAAGUUAAAAGGGAAUUAUUUGGAAUUGUUACAUAGUAUCAGGCAGGGUUACACUAUUUUAAUUGUCUGAGACAAUGUAUUUAGGACAGAAAUUUUUCUCUCAGGAAUAAAUAUUAGGCUGUAACACUUUAAGCAGGGUGUUAUGCAUUAUGUCUUUAAGAAUAAUGUUACAGAUUAUGCUGAUAUGUAUGUUUAUGGAUCUUUUGAUGUCACAACAAUACAAAGGUAUAAUAAACAAUAUUCAGGAAAGAAAUUUCUGCACAAGGCUAGUCUAAUAGGAUCUAAGUUGCUUUUAGAUCAUAUAUUGAUUAAAGGAUACAUCAAGGAUGUUGAGAAAAAAGAUCUCAUGACAUAGCCAUGACAGCAACGAAUUAGGGAGCAGUGCAACUUUGUAAAUCUCUUUUUUUCAAAGGAAAGUUACUGCCCAUGCUUUCUAAUAAGUUGAAACUUUCAGUAUAAUAUGAAUAAUUGUGAUGAUUUAUAUUCCCACAAUUGCUAAGGAUGUUAAAUGAUUUUAAAAUCUCUUAGCCAUUUUUAUUUCUUUAUUUGAGAACUCUCUGUUCAGGCCCAUAACUAUUUUUUUUUUUUGAUUGGGCCAUUUGCUUUCUUGAUUGUUCUUUGAAUUCUUUAUAUGUUCUGGAGUUUAAUCCUUUGUAAGAUAUAAAGCAGGCAAAGACUCUCUCACAUUCUCUGUGUGUUCCAUAUCCUGCCAGAGGUGCCCAGAGAUUCUCUGAAAAAAAAAAAACAAAACAAAAAAAAAACACA